CAGCAGUAGCCGCGGUAAUACGUAGGUGGCAAGCGUUGUCCGGAAUUAUUGGGCGUAAAGGGCUCGCAGGCGGUUUCUUAAGUCUGAUGUGAAAGCCCCCGGCUCAACCGGGGAGGGUCAUUGGAAACUGGGAAACUUGAGUGCAGAAGAGGAGGGUGGAAUUCCACGUGUAGCGGUGAAAUGCGUAGAGAUGUGGAGGAACACCAGUGGCGAAGGCGACUCUUUGGUCUGUAACUGACGCUGAGGAGCGAAAGCGUGGGGAGCGAACAGGAUUAGAUACCCGAGUAGUCCCUGUCUCUUAUAA
rnacentral:rRNA from 1 species